rnacentral:rRNA from 1 species
GGCGCGGCCGUCCGGCGGGGCUCCUUUACUGGGGCCGUUUGUCUGGUUUUCGGCCGCCCCAUUCUCGGGUAGCGUGUCGCUGGCAUUAGGUUGUCGGCUUCUUCGCGCCCGUCGUUUACUGUGAAAAAAUUAGAGUGUUCAAAGCAGGCUUAGGCCG